rnacentral:rRNA from 1 species
UACGGGGGGGCAAGCGUUGUUCGGAAUUACUGGGCGUAAAGGGCUCGUAGGCGGCCAACUAAGUCCGACGUGAAAUCCCAGGCUUAACCUGGGAACUGCGUCGGAUACUGGAUGGCUUGAAUCCGGGAGAGGGAUGCGGAAUUCCAGGUGUAGCGGUGAAAUGCGUAAAUAUCUGGAGGAACACCGGUGGCGAAGGCGGCAUCCUGGACCGGCAUUGACGCUGAGACGCGAAAGCGUGGGGAGCGAACAGG